UACAGAGGGUGCGAGCGUUGUCCGGAAUCACUGGGCGUAAAGGGCGCGUAGGUGGCGCCGCAAGUCCAUGGUGAAAGCUCGAUGCUCAACAUCGAGUCGGCCACGGAGACUGCGGGGCUCGAGCACUGUAGGGGCAGAUGGAACUCCGGGUGUAGCGGUGGAAUGCGUAGAGAUCCGGAAGAACACCGGUGGCGAAGGCGGUCUGCUGGGCAGUUGCUGACACUGAGGCGCGACAGCGUGGGGAGCAAACAGG
rnacentral:rRNA from 1 species